rnacentral:rRNA from 1 species
AGCUUGCUUUCUUGCUGACGAGUGGCGGACGGGUGAGUAAUGCUUGGGAAUCUGGCUUAUGGAGGGGGAUAACUACUGGAAACGGUAGCUAAUACCGCGUAAUAUCGAGAGAUUAAAGGGUGGGACUUUCGGGCCACCUGCCAUAAGAUGAGCCCAAGUGGGAUUAGGUAGUUGGUGGGGUAAAGGCCUACCAAGCCUGCGAUCUCUAGCUGGUCUGAGAGGAUGGCCAGCCACACUGGAACUGAGACACGGUCCAGACUCCUACGGGAGGCAGCAGUGGGGAAUAUUGCACAAUGGGGGGAACCCUGAUGCAGCCAUGCCGCGUGAAUGAAGAAGGCCUUCGGGUUGUAAAGUUCUUUCGGUGAUGAGGAAGGCAGGUAUUUUAAUAGAAUACUUGAUUGACGUUAGUCACAGAAGAAGCACCGGCUAACUCCGUGCCAGCAGCCGCGGUAAUACGGAGGGUGCGAGCGUUAAUCGGAAUAACUGGGCGUAAAGGGCACGCAGGCGGAUUGUUAAGUGAGAUGUGAAAGCCCCGAGCUUAACUUGGGAAUUGCAUUUCAGACUGGCAGUCUAGAGUAUUUUAGGGAGGGGUAGAAUUCCACGUGUAGCGGUGAAAUGCGUAGAGAUGUGGAGGAAUACCGAAGGCGAAGGCAGCCCCUUGGGAAUA